rnacentral:rRNA from 1 species
GAUGAACGCUGGCGGCGUGCCUAAUACAUGCAAGUCGAGCGAACGGACGAGAAGCUUGCUUCUCUGAUGUUAGCGGCGGACGGGUGAGUAACACGUGGAUAACCUACCUAUAAGACUGGGAUAACUUCGGGAAACCGUAGCUAAUACCGGAUAAUAUUUUGAACCGCAUGGUUCAAAAGUGAAAGACGGUCUUGCUGUCACUUAUAGAUGGAUCCGCGCUGCAUUAGCUAGUUGGUAAGGUAACGGCUUACCAAGGCAACGAUGCAUAGCCGACCUGAGAGGGUGAUCGGCCACACUGGAACUGAGACACGGUCCAGACUCCUACGGGAGGCAGCAGUAGGGAACCUGCCGCAAUGGGCGAAAGCCUGACGGAGCAACGCCGCGUGAGUGAUGAAGGUCUUCGGAUCGUAAAACUCUGUUAUUAGGGAAGAACAUAUGUGUAAGUAACUGUGCACAUCUUGACGGUACCUAAUCAGAAAGCCACGGCUAACUACGUG